rnacentral:lncRNA from 1 species
GCCGAGGCCGCUCAUGGCGCCGAUGCGGUCCAGCUUGAGGCCGAAGCAGCCCUUGCCCAGGCCCUUCUUGUGCAGGCCCUUGUGCCGGCGGCCCGGCGGGUCCUGCAGCAGCCGCGCCCAGCCCGCCCGCGGCCGAGCCUCGCCCCGCGCCUCCCGCGCCUCCCGCGGGCCCGAGCCGCCGCCGCCGCCGCUGCGCUCCUUCUCCCGCUCCUUCUCCCGCUCCGCCGCCGCCGCCGCCUCGGGCGGACCCGCUGCCGCCGCCGCCGAGCCGCGGGAGGCCUGAGGCGGGGGGGAGAAGCACCCUCAGCGGGACGGGGAGAAGGAGGAGCGCCGGGGUGCUCCUCCGGCCGUACCUUCUGUGGGAGCUGAGACGCCGGCUUCGCCUCCAGCCUGACGGAGAGCAGAGCGAGUAAAAGUCCACCAGCCAGCAAGGAUACCUUCCCCCCAGAAAGGGGGGUCUGGCAGCAUUUCAUCUGCAGUCUGGAGGUCCCAACAUGAGCCCAGGCUUGUCAGUUUUGGCGCUGAGCAUCCCUUUGGGAAGAUGUACUGCCCAAAGAAGUGAUGACCUGGAAAGGCCAAAGGGGGUGACGUUUCCAUGAGCAGUGUCAGCUCACGCUGGAUGGACUGCAGGAAGCAGACAGAGGUGUUGGAAGAACCACUCUGCUCCCGUCCAGGGAUCCCCUCAUCGAGUCAUCUCGGGGCGGCUCCAGGCCUUUGGCCAGUCACUCCUGAUUAACACUGAUGUAAACGAGCACCGGGCGGGCCCUUACUCCUCACUGAAACCGCAAGCAGAGGCGCCAAAGCCUUCGUAAGCAGGGCACUCCCAGCCAACGAGCCAUGCAGUGCUCUCACCUCGGCCGAGGUGCCGCAACACGUUCCAGCCUCCGACAUUGGGGAGCAGCUACCAGUUACUGCCUGGGGGAAGAUGGUGAGAUAAUCCUGCACUGUGGGAAAGCAAGCCGGGACACCGGGCUGGGCCUGCUGCUACAGGACCCCAGGAAAUGAGAGCGCAGGGGAAAAAUCUGCCCAUGGACCUGCUCCCUUUCAGAAAGGCCAUGAGUUGCCAUGGAGAGGCAUAGAAGCAGCAGCAAGGCAACGCUCCUUUUUGCUUGGCAGCCACUAGGCUGGUGUGAAUAGAAGAUGGAGCCAAAGGCAAGACUGAAGCAGUCCAGUCCUUCCCUAGGAGGGAUUGCAUUUGGUGAGAUCCUGCAUGAGACACCGGCUUGCUGCCACAUUUGCACAUGGCCUCUUUGAAAGGGUGUGAAGGAUGGGCACGCAGCUAGUUCCAGCCACACAGGAAUCUGCUGCGUGCCUGUGGGGCAACAUGAGGUUGACAUG